GGGUUGUGAGGUUAAGCGACUAAGCGUACACGGUGGAUGCCCUGGCAGUCAGAGGCGAUGAAGGGCGUGCUAAUCUGCGAUAAGCGCCGGUAAGGUGAUAUGAACCGUUAUAACCGGCGAUACCCGAAUGGGGAAACCCAGUGUGAUUCGUCACACUAUCAUUAACUGAAUCCAUAGGUUAAUGAGGCGAACCGGGGGAACUGAAACAUCUAAGUACCCCGAGGAAAAGAAAUCAACCGAGAUUCCCCCAGUAGCGGCGAGCGAACGGGGAGGAGCCCAGAGCCUGAAUCAGCAUGUGUGUUAGUGGAAGCGUCUGGAAAGGCGCGCGAUACAGGGUGACAGCCCCGUACACAAAAGCGCAUAUGCUGUGAGCUCGAUGAGUAGGGCGGGACACGUGGUAUCCUGUCUGAAUAUGGGGGGACCAUCCUCCAAGGCUAAAUACUCCUGACUGACCGAUAGUGAACCAGUACCGUGAGGGAAAGGCGAAAAGAACCCCGGCGAGGGGAGUGAAAAAGAACCUGAAACCGUGUACGUACAAGCAGUGGGAGCCCCACCACUAAGCCAGUGGUGAACUCCACAUACGCAUCCUUUGCUGAGGAGACGGUUAACGGAGCGAAAGCGACGUUCAACCUCAAAAGAAGCAGAGGGGGCUUAGUGGUGGGGUGACUGCGUACCUUUUGUAUAAUGGGUCAGCGACUUAUAUUCUGUAGCAAGGUUAACUGUAUAGGGGAGCCGGAGGGAAACCGAGUCUUAACCGGGCGUUAAGUUGCAGGGUAUAGACCCGAAACCCGGUGAUCUAGCCAUGGGCAGGUUGAAGGUUGGGUAACACUAACUGGAGGACCGAACCGACUAAUGUUGAAAAAUUAGCGGAUGACCUGUGGCUGGGGGUGAAAGGCCAAUCAAACCGGGAGAUAGCUGGUUCUCCCCGAAAGCUAUUUAGGUAGCGCCUCGUGAAUUCAUCUCCGGGGGUAGAGCACUGUUUCGGCUAGGGGGCCAUCCCGGCUUACCAACCCGAUGCAAACUGCGAAUACCGGAGAAUGUUAUCACGGGAGACACACGGCGGGUGCUAAUGUCCGUCGUGAAGAGGGAAACAACCCAGACCGCCAGCUAAGGUCCCAAAGUCAUGGUUAAGUGGGAAACGAUGUGGGAAGGCCCAGACAGCCAGGAUGUUGGCUUAGAAGCAGCCAUCAUUUAAAGAAAGCGUAAUAGCUCACUGGUCGAGUCGGCCUGCGCGGAAGAUGUAACGGGGCUAAACCAUGCACCGAAGCUGCGGCAGCGACACCGUGUGUUGUUGGGUAGGGGAGCGUUCUGUAAGCCUGUGAAGGUGUGCUGUGAGGCAUGCUGGAGGUAUCAGAAGUGCGAAUGCUGACAUAAGUAACGAUAAAGCGGGUGAAAAGCCCGCUCGCCGGAAGACCAAGGGUUCCUGUCCAACGUUAAUCGGGGCAGGGUGAGUCGACCCCUAAGGCGAGGCCGAAAGGCGUAGUCGAUGGGAAACGGGUUAAUAUUCCCGUACUUGGUGUUACUGCGAAGGGGGGACGGAGAAGGCUAUGUUGGCCGGGCGACGGUUGUCCCGGUUUAAGCGUGUAGGUAUGUGUUCCAGGUAAAUCCGGUUCACUUUAACACUGAGGCGUGACGACGAGGCACUACGGUGCUGAAGCAACAAAUGCCCUGCUUCCAGGAAAAGCCUCUAAGCAUCAGGUAACAUCAAAUCGUACCCCAAACCGACACAGGUGGUCAGGUAGAGAAUACCAAGGCGCUUGAGAGAACUCGGGUGAAGGAACUAGGCAAAAUGGUGCCGUAACUUCGGGAGAAGGCACGCUGACACGUAGGUGAAGUGAUUUACUCACGGAGCUGAAGUCAGCCGAAGAUACCAGCUGGCUGCAACUGUUUAUUAAAAACACAGCACUGUGCAAACACGAAAGUGGACGUAUACGGUGUGACGCCUGCCCGGUGCCGGAAGGUUAAUUGAUGGGGUCAGCGCAAGCGAAGCUCCUGAUCGAAGCCCCGGUAAACGGCGGCCGUAACUAUAACGGUCCUAAGGUAGCGAAAUUCCUUGUCGGGUAAGUUCCGACCUGCACGAAUGGCGUAAUGAUGGCCAGGCUGUCUCCACCCGAGACUCAGUGAAAUUGAACUCGCUGUGAAGAUGCAGUGUACCCGCGGCAAGACGGAAAGACCCCGUGAACCUUUACUAUAGCUUG
rnacentral:rRNA from 1 species